UCUAACGUGGCAGAUAAGUGCGGUGGAUUUAAGCUCCAUAAAUAAAGUUUCUUACUUUCAUUAGAA
rnacentral:tRNA from 1 species